rnacentral:misc_RNA from 1 species
AAAACGAGCAGAAUAUCAAAAAAGGCAACACAAAGUAAUUUUGCUUCGUGAUAAUGCACCAUCGCAUACAGCAAAACCGGUCAAGGAAACGAUCGAAGCGUUCAGUUGGGAAAUACUUUCGCACGCGGCUUACUCACCAGACUUGGCUCCGUCCGAUUACUAUUUAUUUGCAUCGAUGGGACACGCGCUUUCUGACCAGCACUUCGCUUCUUACGAAAAUGUACGAAAAUGCCUCGAUGACUGGUUUGCCUCAAAAGAGCGACAGUUUUUUUGGCGUGGCAUCCACCAAUCGCCAGACAGAAAAAUUCCGGUUUCAUAUUUACAUACCUGGUA